UACGAAGGGGGCUAGCGUUGCUCGGAAUCACUGGGCGUAAAGGGUGCGUAGGCGGGUCUUUAAGUCAGGGGUGAAAUCCUGGAGCUCAACUCCAGAACUGCCUUUGAUACUGGGGAUCUUGAGUCGGGAGAGGUGAGUGGAACUGCGAGUGUAGAGGUGAAAUUCGUAGAUAUUCGCAAGAACACCAGUGGCGAAGGCGGCUCACUGGCCCGGUACUGACGCUGAGGUGCGAAAGCGUGGGGAGCAAACAGG
rnacentral:rRNA from 1 species